UACGGAGGAUGCGAGCGUUAUCCGGAUUUAUUGGGUUUAAAGGGAGCGUAGGCGGGAGCUUAAGUCAGCGGUUAAAUCGUACGGCUCAACCGUGCCUUGCCGUUGAAACCGGGUUUCUUGAGAGUGCAAGAGGCGGAUGGAAUUCAUGGUGUAGCGGUGAAAUGCUUAGAUAUCAUGAAGAACUCCGAUUGCGAAGGCAGUCCGCUGGGGCACGUCUGACGCUGAGGCUCGAAAGUGCGGGUAUCAAACA
rnacentral:rRNA from 1 species